rnacentral:rRNA from 1 species
UACAGAGGUCCCGAACGUUGUUCGGAUUCACUGGGCGUAAAGGGUGCGCAGGUGGGUUGGCAAGUUUGAUGUGAAAGCCCCGGGCUUAACCCGGGAAUGGCAUUGAAUACUGCUGAUCUGGAGGAUCGGAGGGGGGACUGGAAUUCUUGGUGUAGCAGUGAAAUGCGUAGAUAUCAAGAGGAACACCAGUGGCGAAGGCGAGUCCCUGGACGAUACCUGACACUGAGGCACGAAAGCCGGGGGAGCAAACAGG